AAUUAUAAAAUUUUCAUAUCAACAAUCAACCUACCAAAAUCGAAAACUUCAGCAAAAAAACAUAUCAGCAUGCUGCAUUUAAGUCUAGUUUGGUAUAUUUAAACGAAAAUUAUGGUACAAACGAAAAAUGUCAUACGGCAACCAUAGUCAGCACACACU